GUGAGUCAUCGAAUCUUUGAACGCACAUUGCGCCCUUUGGUAUUCCGAAGGGCAUGCCUGUUCGAGCGUCAUUAUCACCCCUCAAGCCCUGUGCUUGGUGCUGGAUGGCUUGGUCGCGUCACCGCGACCCCUCCUAAAGACAAUGACGGCGGCCUGUGGUUCCUCCGGUACACUGAGCUUUUAACUGAGCACGUACCGGACCAGGGCACCCGGGACCCGGUCUUCUCCCUUCACCGGGAAAAUUUUUUAAUGGUUGACCUCGGAUCAGGUAGGAAUACCCGCUGAACUUAAGCAUAUCAA
rnacentral:misc_RNA from 1 species